AUCAGCUUCCCCUAGGGACAGACCUAGGAUCAGCUUCCCCUAGGGACAGACCUAGGAUCAGCUUCCCCUAGGUACAGACCUAGGAUUAGCUUCCCCUCCCCCAAGCUUUACACAAAACAUUAAUGGGGAGAAACGCCAGACUGACUCAAGAUCAGUCUUUAGGGGAAACUUGACUCUACUCUAAUCAUGAAACCCAAAUUUUCACUCGUUUUGACAAAUAGUACUGCAGUUCUGACAUACUGGUAGCCUGGGUGGAUUAUAAUGUAGCCUGGGGGGAUUAUAAUGUAGCCUGGGUGGGAUUAUAAUGUAGCCUGGGUGGAUUAUAAUGUAGCCUGGGUGGAUUAUAUGUAUCCUGGGUGGGAUUAUAAUGUAGUCUGGGGGGAUUAUAAUAUAGCCUGGGGGAUUAUAAUGUGGCCUGGGUGGAUUAUAAUGUAGCCUGGGUGGAUUAUAAUGUAGCCUGGGGGAUUAUAAUGUAGCCUGGGUGGGAUUAUAAUGUAGCCUGGGUGGGAUUAUAAUGUGGCCUGGGUGGAUUAUAAUGUAGCCUGGGUGGGAUUAUAAUGUAGUCUGGGGGAUUAUAAUAUAGCCUGGGGGGUUUAUAAUGUAGUCUGGGGUGGAUUAUAAUGUAGCCUGGGGGAUUAUAAUGUAGUCUGGGUGGAUUAUAAUGUAGCCUGGGGGAUUAUAAUGUAGCCUGGGUGGAUGUAAUUUAGCCUGGGUGGAUUAUAAAGUAGCCUGGCGAAUGUAAUGUAGCCUGGGUGGAUUAUAAUGUAGCCUGGGUGGGAUUAUAAUGUAGCCUGGGUGGAUUAUAAUGUAGCCUGGGGGGGGAUUAUAAUGUAGUCUGGGUGAAUUAUAAAGUAGCCUGGGUGGAUUAUAAUGUAGCCUGGGGAGAUUAUAAUGUAGCCUGUGUGAAUUAUAAUGUAGCCUGGGUGAAUUAUAAUGUAGCCUGGGUGGAUUAUAAUGUAGCCUGGGGGGGUUAUAAUGUAGCCUGUGUGGAUUAUAAUGUAGCCUGGGUGGGAUUAUAUUGUAGCCUGGGUGAAUGUAAUGUAGCCUGGGGGGGGGAUUAU
ensembl:lncRNA